rnacentral:rRNA from 1 species
AUUGAACGCUGGCGGAAUGCUUUACACAGGCAAGUCGAACGGUAGAGGGGGCAACCCCUCGAGAGUGGCGAACGGGUGAGUAAUAUAUCGGAACGUGCCCAGUCGUGGGGGAUAACGUAGCGAAAGUUACGCUAAUACCGCAUACGAUCUAUGGAUGAAAGCGGGGGAUCGCAAGACCUCGCGCGAUUGGAGCGGCCGAUAUCAGAUUAGGUAGUUGGUGGGGUAAAGGCCCACCAAGCCAACGAUCUGUAGCUGGUCUGAGAGGACGACCAGCCACACUGGAACUGAGACACGGUCCAGACUCCUACGGGAGGCAGCAGUGGGGAAUUUUGGACAAUGGGCGAAAGCCUGAUCCAGCCAUUCCGCGUGCAGGAUGAAGGCCCUCGGGUUGUAAACUGCUUUUGUACAGAACGAAAAGGUUUCUACUAAUACUAGGAGCUCAUGACGGUACUGUAAGAAUGAGCACCGGCUAACUACGUGCCAGCCGCCGCCGUAA